UACGGAGGAUCCAAGCGUUAUCCGGAUUUAUUGGGUUUAAAGGGUGCGUAGGCGGCUUUUUAAGUCAGGGGUGAAAGACGGUAGCUCAACUAUCGCAGUGCCCUUGAUACUGAAGAGCUUGAAUGGACUAGAGGUAGGCGGAAUGUGACAAGUAGCGGUGAAAUGCAUAGAUAUGUCACAGAACACCGAUUGCGAAGGCAGCUUACUAUGGUUUAAUUGACGCUGAGGCACGAAAGCGUGGGGAUCAAACAGG
rnacentral:rRNA from 1 species